ACGGUCCUAAGGUAGCGAAAUUCCUUGUCGGGUAAGUUCCGACCUGCACGAAUGGCGUAACGACUUCCCCACUGUCUCGACCAGGAGCUCGGCGAAAUUGCAGUACGAGUAAAGAUGCUCGUUAAGCGCAGAAGGACGAAAAGACCCCGGGACCUUUACUAUACCUUGGUAUUGGCGUUAGGCGCGGAUUGUGUAGCAUAGGCGGGAGGCCGAGAGGCGCGGUCGCCAGAUCGCGCGGAGCCGUAAGGUGAAAUACCGCUCUGUUCUCGUUUGACGUCUAACCUCGACAAGUCAUCCUUGUCAGGGACAGUGCCUGGCGGGUAGUUCAACUGGGGCGGUUGCCUCCCAAAGAGUAACGGAGGCGCUCAAAGGUCCGCUCAGCCCGGUUGGCAAUCGGGUGUCGAGUGUAAUCGCACAAGCGGGCUUGACUGCGAGGACGACGGUCCGAGCAGGGACGAAAGUCGGAGAUAGUGAUCCGGUGCCGGCGCACGGGCGCGGCAUCGCUCAACGGAUAAAAGGUACCCCGGGGAUAACAGGCUGAUCAUUCCCAAGAGUCCAUAUCGACGGGAUGGUUUGGCACCUCGAUGUCGGCUCGUCGCAUCCUGGGGCUGGAGCAGGUCCCAAGGGUUCGGCUGUUCGCCGAUUAAAGCGGCACGCGAGCUGGGUUCAGAACGUCGUGAGACAGUUUGGUCUCUAUCCUCUGCGCUCGUUGGAAUCCUGAGGAGGCCUGCCCAUAGUACGAGAGGACCUGGGUGGACGAACCUCUGGUAUGCCGGUUGUCGCGCCAGCGGCACGGCCGGUUGGCUACGUUCGGGAGGGAUAACCGCUGAAAGCAUCUAAGCGGGAAGCCUGCUCCAAGAUUAGGAUUCCGUACGGUCUUGAACCGUUGUAGCCCGCAUGUUGAACACGUGUUUGAUAGGCCGGAGGUGGAAGCCCCGUGAGGGGUGGAGCCGACCGGUACUAACGGGCGAUGGCGACACAAC
rnacentral:rRNA from 1 species